rnacentral:rRNA from 1 species
GGUGAACGCUGGCGGUAGGCCUAACACAUGCAAGUCGAACGGCAGCACAGUAAGAGCUUGCUCUUACGGGUGGCGAGUGGCGGACGGGUGAGGAAUACAUCGGAAUCUACUUUUUCGUGGGGGAUAACGUAGGGAAACUUACGCUAAUACCGCAUACGACCUACGGGUGAAAGCAGGGGAUCUUCGGACCUUGCGCGAUUGAAUGAGCCGAUGUCGGAUUAGCUAGUUGGCGGGGUAAAGGCCCACCAAGGCGACGAUCCGUAGCUGGUCUGAGAGGAUGAUCAGCCACACUGGAACUGAGACACGGUCCAGACUCCUACGGGAGGCAGCAGUGGGGAAUAUUGGACAAUGGGCGCAAGCCUGAUCCAGCCAUACCGCGUGGGUGAAGAAGGCCUUCGGGUUGUAAAGCCCUUUUGUUGGGAAAGAAAAGCGGCAGGUUAAUACCCCGCUGUUCUGACGGUACCCAAAGAAUAAGCACCGGCUAACUUCGUG